GUGCAUGGCGGCAGCUACACAUGCAAGUCGAGCGGAUGAAGGGAGCUUGCUCCUGGAUUCAGCGGCGGACGGGUGAGUAAUGCCUAGGAAUCUGCCUGGUAGUGGGGGAUAACGUCCGGAAACGGGCGCUAAUACCGCAUACGUCCUGAGGGAGAAAGUGGGGGAUCUUCGGACCUCACGCUAUCAGAUGAGCCUAGGUCGGAUUAGCUAGUUGGUGGGGUAAAGGCCUACCAAGGCGACGAUCCGUAACUGGUCUGAGAGGAUGAUCAGUCACACUGGAACUGAGACACGGUCCAGACUCCUACGGGAGGCAGCAGUGGGGAAUAUUGGACAAUGGGCGAAAGCCUGAUCCAGCCAUGCCGCGUGUGUGAAGAAGGUCUUCGGAUUGUAAAGCACUUUAAGUUGGGAGGAAGGGCAGUAAGUUAAUACCUUGCUGUUUUGACGUUACCAACAGAAUAAGCACCGGCUAACUUCGUGCCAGCAGCCGCGGUAAUACGAAGGGUGCAAGCGUUAAUCGGAAUUACUGGGCGUAAAGCGCGCGUAGGUGGUUCAGCAAGUUGGAUGUGAAAUCCCCGGGCUCAACCUGGGAACUGCAUCCAAAACUACUGAGCUAGAGUACGGUAGAGGGUGGUGGAAUUUCCUGUGUAGCGGU
rnacentral:rRNA from 1 species